rnacentral:lncRNA from 1 species
UAAAAGUUUUCCAUGUAUCUCAAGACAAAGGUCUUCUCAGUGUCCCAAAAUGCAAGUUGCAAACUUUUGGCGGCAGAUCUUUCAGCGUUCACUCAGCUUCCCUCUGGAACUCACUACCUCUCCAUGUCAAGUCAUCUCCUUCCAUCUCCAUCUUUAAAUCAAGACUCAAAACAUUCUUGUUCAACCACAACUAAAUCUUAUAAAACUUCUUCCUCUAUAUAGUGUACAUAUUUACUGUUGCGCAAAGAGCAUGCCCUUGAGGUGUGGAGUUACUACUGCGCUCUACAAA